rnacentral:lncRNA from 10 species
UUCCAAUUUUCUCCCAAUUCUAUUGGAAGGUCAAUCUUAAAUGCUGUAUAGGAGGAUCUCAUUGAGAAGAUAUCAUUUGAGCAAAGAUGUAAAGCAAGGGAGGGAAUGAGUCAGUGGCUACAUAGCGAGAGUGUCCUAGGCAGAGGAAACAGCUUCUACAAAAGCCCUGAAGCAAGAGAAUGUUUGAAGUGUUCAAGAAUAAACAGGAGAUGCAGAAUGAAUGGAAUUGAGAGUGAGUGAGGCAGUCGGAUACAAGGGAGACUAAUAUGGGGCAGCACUGAAGACUGCUGACAGCAGCCACAUGAGUGAGCUCAGAGUGGACACAACAGCCCCUUCAGAGGCUGCAGGGAUGGCAGACAGCCUGACUGCAAUGUCGUGAAAGAUGCUGAGGCAGAACCAUGCAGCAAAGUCAUUCCCAGAUUCCUGACUCUCAGAAAAUGUGGUUACUUUAGAGAAGUCUGAACUUGCCCUUUUUUUCAUCUUUAUGCCUGAGGAAAUUUUUCUUUAUCAUCAAAGAACUCUGAGAAUUGAUGGGCACUGUGUUAGAGCAAGUGGGAAGUAUAGACACAGCUUCCCAUGUUAAGCACGAGCAAGAAGAAAAUAAUUUGAAUGGAAACUAUUCAAAUAUAUCACAGUGAUCAAAGAUUUAAAAGUGGAUGAAAAGAGACAGCUCAAGAACCCAAUUCAGAAGACAGCAUAGCUCAAGGAG